rnacentral:rRNA from 1 species
CCCGCUGAACUUAAGCAUAUCAAUAAGCGGAGGAAAAGAAACCAACAGGGAUUGCCCCAGUAACGGCGAGUGAAGCGGCAACAGCUCAAAUUUGAAAUCUGGCCCCUAGGGUCCGAGUUGUAAUUUGCAGAGGAUGCUUUUGGCGAGGCGCCUUCCGAGUUCCCUGGAACGGGACGCCAUAGAGGGUGAGAGCCCCGUCUGGUCGGAUGCCAAGCCUAUGUAAAGCUCCUUCGACGAGUCGAGUAGUUUGGGAAUGCUGCUCAAAAUGGGAGGUAUAUGUCUUCUAAAGCUAAAUAUUGGCGAGAGACCGAUAGCGAACAAGUACCGUGAGGGAAAGAUGAAAAGAACUUUGAAAAGAGAGUUAAACAGUACGUGAAAUUGUUGAAAGGGAAACGUUUGAAAUCAGUCAUUUCUUCUGGAAAUCAGCCUUGCUUUUGCAUGGUGUAUUUUCCAGUUGAAAGGUUAACGUCAAUUUUGGUUGUCGGAUAAAAGCCUUUGGAAUGUGGCUCUCUUCGGGGAGUGUUAUAGCCAAGGUCAAUACGAUGACUGGGAUUGAGGAUUCGCCGCCAAUGCUCUCUGGGCAGUGGCAUCAUGCGCUCAGGUUAACACUCUGCUAGACAGCUUGCUGACUAGUAGUUUGAAGAUUUGACUCGUGUGGUUCCCACUAAUUGGCGUAGGACGUUAACUUAAUGGUUUUAAACGACCCGUCUUGAAACACGG